ACACACACACACAGACUUCAUACGCUCUCGGUUCCCCCUUUUCUUCUUCUUCUUCUUCUAUCUCUCAGAUGUCGAUUUAAACACAAAAUUCAAAAGUAACCCUGAGUUCUUAACCACAAACCAUGGCUCAAAAGCUGCAAAUUCAACUCAAGCAAGUUGGAUCCAGCCUUCAAAACCCACCUGCAAGUAAAGAUGCUGUUGUUACCCUUCUAACGGAAGCUGCAGCAUCUCUCUCUGAAAUGGACCAAUCACCAUCAAAGGCGUUGUUGGAGUCUAUGCAGACUCUAAUGAAUGCUAUUGUCAAGCCAGAGUAUCUAAAACAUCAAGACGAACAAGUUAAGCUUCUUGUUGCAGCAUGCACUUGUGAGAUAACCAGAAUUACCGCCCCUGAAGCCCCAUAUGACGAUGAUGUUUUGAAGGACAUCUUUCAUUUGUUUGUUAGCACUUUCAAAGGGUUAAAAGAUACCAAAGACCCGUCUUUUGGAAGGAUAGUAAACAUACUGGAUACCGUAGCAAAGUACCGAUCAUUUGUCGUGAUGUUGGAUCUCGAGUGUGAUGAUUUAGUUAAUGAAAUGUUUAAAACAUUUUUCAAUGUUGCCAGUGACGAGCAUACCGAAAUCGUUACCGUGGCGAUGGAGACAAUAAUGGCGGUUCUUUUGGAAGAAAGUGAGGAUAUCGGAGAGGACCUUUUACUCACCGUUUUAUCUGUUUUAGGCCGUGAUAAGAAAGAUGUAAGCGAAGCAGCAAGGAGGCUCGGUAUGGAAGUUAUCCGGCAAUGUGCUGGAAAACUUGAACCUGGGAUUAAGCAGUUUAUUUUAUCGUCAAUGUCCGGAGCUUCAAAACAUCAUAUCGACUACCAUGAAGUUAUCUAUGACGUAUAUCGCUGUGCUCCUCAGGUUUUAAAGAAAGUUGUGCCAAGCCUAACGAAAGAACUACUGACAGAUAAAGUAGACCUUCGCGUAAAGGCGGUGAGACUGGUAGGAGACUUGUUUGCACACAAGGGAUCCGCCAUUCCGAAGACGUUUCAGCCGAUAUUUACGGAGUUUUUGAAGAGAUCGUCCGAUGAUACCAUUGAGGUCCGGAUGUCUGUCCUUGAAAAGGUCAAACUGUGUCUGUUGUCUGACCCGUUCAGAGAAGAAGCUCCUAAGUUACUUGGUGCCCUGCGUGACCGGCUGUCGGAUGAUGAUGAAAGCAUACGGAAACAAGUGGUUGCGGUAGUUUCAGAUGUAGCUUCUCAUGAUUUAUCGUCUAUUUCAUCUGAUACCAUAAAGCUUGUUGCUGCCCACCUCGAGGACAAAUCUCUUCUUGUGAAAAAGUAUACGUUGGAGAGGCUAUCUGAUAUCUACCGAAUCUCGUGUUUGAAGCAACAUGGUGGAUCGAACUUAAAUGAUGACUACGACUGGAUUCCUGGAAGAAUUUUGAAAUGUUUAUACGAGAAAGAUCUUGAAUCCGACACGGUUGAGCAAAUUCUAUGCACGUCUCUAUUCCCAGCUGAAUUUUCAGUCAAAGAUAAGGUUAAAAAGUGGGUCAAACUAUUUUCAAAUUUCAAUGAAGUCGAGGUGAAGGCUUUAGAGAAAUUACUGGAGCAGAAGCAAAGAUUACAAGUAGAGUUGCACAAGUAUCUUUCACUUAGGCAGACGUAUUUACAGGAUAACGACGCUUCGGAGCUACAGAAGAAAGCCGCACCGUGUAUUCGGUCUAUAUCUCAUUGUUUCGUUAAUCCCACAAAAGCAGAAGCAGAUUUUCAGCUUCUCGAUCAAUCAAAAGAUGUUGAUAACAUUUGGAAGAUAUUGACAACACUACUGGAUGCCACCACCAGUUCUCAUAAAAGUCGAGCCCUUCGGGAUGAGUUGCUUAAGAUUGUUGACGAGAAGCAUCCUCUUUACGAACUUUUAAGCACUCUCUCUAUAAAAUGCUCAUACACAAUCUUCGAUAAGGAGUUUGUCAAAGAUCUUGUUCUCGAGACUGACCUACAGAAAAGUGAUGGGAACAAAACAUUAACUAAGGCUUGCAUGGAUAUACUUGCGAUCGUUGGGUGCUUCAGUCCUUUGCUGUUAAGCGGGAUGGAAAAUGAUUUGGCCCAUCUUCUUGAGGACGAUGAUGAGGUAAUCAAGGAAGGCGCUUUGCACGUACUAGCAAAAGCUGGUGAAACCAUUCGUGAACAAUCGGGAGAAUCAUCUAGUUCGUUAGACCUUAUACUUGAAAGAAUAUGCUUAGAGGGUACUAGGAAGCAGGCGAAGUAUGCGGUACACGCGUUAGCAGCCAUUACAAAGGAUAAAGGGCUCAAAUCACUUUCGGUUCUAUAUAAGCGAUUAGUGGAUAUACUAGAGAAGAGGACAAAUCUGCCUUCUGUUUUACAGUCUUUAGGGUGUAUAGCACAGAUUGCAAUGCCGGUUUUCGAAACACAAGAGAGUAAAGUCAUCGGCUUUAUAAGAAAAUCUAUCUUAAGUUGUGGUCAGAAAACUGGAGAUAAAGCGAAAGAAUCAUGGGAUGCCAGAAGCGAACUCUGUUCAUUAAAGAUAUUUGGCAUUAAAACUCUGGUGAAGAGCUACCUGCCAGUAAAAGAUGCACAUCUUCGUGUCGGCAUCGAUGAGCUGUUAAAAGAUCUUCAGAAUUUGCUUUCUUUUGGGGAAAUUUCAAAAGAUGUUGAAUCAAGUUUUGUUGAUAAGGCUCAUUUAAAGCUAGCUUCAGCUAAGGCCAUUAUACGUCUAUCGAAGCACUGGGAUAAGAAAAUUCCCAUCGAUUUAUUUCACCUUACCAUGAGAACAUCAGAGGUUGGAUUCCCCGAGGUUAAGAAACUAUUUCUCAACAAAGUACACCAGUACAUAAAAGACAAGAGUUUGGACUCCAAAUAUGCCUGUGCCUUCUUAUUAGAUUUCGGACCCCAAAACACUAUUCUCGAAGAGGAACAUCAGAAUUUGAAAGAAAUCAUCGAGAUGUGCGACCCGGAGUACAUUCUUCCGUACUUGGUCCAUGCACUUGCACAUCAUCCUUCAUGUCCAAAAAUCGAUGAAUGCAAGGAUAUCAAAGCAUAUGAACCGAUAUACAGGAAGUUGUACGUAUUUUUUUCUAAGUUAGCAGCUGGAGACGAAGAUGGUCUAAGAAGGGAAGAUAUAAAUUCAAUAAAUUCUGUUGUUCGAAGUAUCAAGAGAUUCGAAGAUGCUGUAGAUACAAAUAUGACAAAGAACUCGCACGCAAUCUGUGAUCUAUGCUUGUCGAUCACGAAGCGGUUAGCAAGAAACAACAAAGAUGUUAAUGAGUCGGUUGUACGCGUUUCUCUUCCGCAAGUCUUGUACGCACCACACAAGAAUAAAGAAAAUGAGAAUAAAGAAGACGGAAAGAAAGAAGAAAUCACCGAAGAUGAUAAGAAACAAGAGAUCAAAGAAGACGAGAAGAUAGAAAAAACCGAAGAAGACGAAAACAAACAAGAGAUCGACACAGAGGUUGCUGAAGGUCAAACAUGGCUGGCUGACGAGAACGCUCUUGCGUACUUUGAGUCCCUUAUCUUGGAAGCUAAUGGCGAUGUUCCGUCAAUAUCCAACGAGGAUGAUUUUCUGAAGGACAGUGAAAACGACGUGCCGUUAGGAAAAAUGUUAAAACUUCUAAAAGCUAAAGGAUCAAAGGCAAAAAACAAAAAGGUAGUGAAUAACGGAUCUGCGCCUGCUGUCGUGGAAGCUGAAAAUAACAUCGACAUAUUGGGAAUGUUAAAAGAAAUAAACUCGGAUAAUGCGGACGUGUCAAAUAAAUUCGAGUCAAGCAAUGGGCAUGGUAAAAUAUCAAGUGAAACAAAGCUCAAGAGGAAAAGCGUGGCUAACGAUCUAAGCAAUGUCUCAGUACCAAAACGUCGGAGAUCAUCCCCUGCUAAGGGUCAAAAGAGAUCAACUUAUGUAACUACCACAUUUAAUAUCAAUAAAAUGGAAGAUGAUUCACAUGAUGAUGAUGAUGAUGAUAAGGUUACUUUGAAAGCAAGUACCAACAAAGCUUCCGUACAUAAAAAAGACUCCACUAACACUGACGAACGUGAUACGAAGCCUAAAAAGCCCGUGGAGGCUGAUAAUAAUCAGAAGUCAGGGCCCAUAAGGAAGCGGAAGAGAAGACGGAUUUCCGGAUUAGCGAAGUGCACCGUGGAUGAAACUCCAACUCACAAGACAGACUUGGUUGGCAGACGCAUACAAGUCUGGUGGCCUAUGGAUAAGGCGUUUUAUAAAGGUGUUGUGAAGUCUUACGAUCCUGAAAAGAAAAAACAUGUGGGGUAUUUUGUCUUUUCACAUAAAGAGAAAAAUACCGAAUUGCCCUUUAAGUUAGCAAAAAAGACGGAAAAUACCCCUGACUUAACGGAGAAAAAUGGAUGGAGUUAACGGCGAGAUGAAAAUGGCAAGAUUUCAAACCUUUUGGAUCCAGAUGCGGAAAAACAAGCCUUUGGACGAAAGUCGCAAAACUGGCCAACCUCAGGGACGAAAAUGGCAUUUUACUCUUUAUUUAGAUUUCUUUUUAUUUCAACUAAUUCCUAUCAUGUUGAAGGUAUCAUACGAUGACGGGGAUGUCGAAGUGCUACAACUAGACAAAGAGCGAUGGGAAUUUGUUGAGAAUGAGCACAAGCCUAAACAGCCUAAGCGACUGUCAACUAGUUCACCCUCUAAAGGAGGAUCAUCUAAGAAGAAACUCAAGUCAUCGGGUAGCUCCAAAAAAGCCAAGGAAUCGGCCGAAAUAUCACCGUCAUCUACUGUACGAGGCAAAAGAACUCCACGAAAAAAUUUGAAGCAAGGACAAAAGGGGGUGUCACAAAGAGCUGAAUAUUUGGAAAUAGAGAAAAGCAAGGAUCUUGAUACGUUAAUGCAUGAGGCCGAACCUGAAGUCAACACCAAGCCUACCAAAGUUUCUAAAGAUGAUAGUUUGGACACCGAAGGGAAAACGUCGAGUAAUGAACACGACGAGAGCUCAGAAGGCGAGGAGGAUUCCGACAAGGUGAAAAAAUCAAGUCCCGUGAAGAAACAAAUAAAAGAUGCCGAGAGUAGCUCAAGUGAUACCGCAUCCUCUCAGGGAAUCGAAGCUGAAUCUGCGAAGAAAGAAACCGAAAAGGCUGACAUUGUAGAAACCGAUAAAUCUCAUAAGGAAGAAGAUGAAAAUAACAACUCAGAUUCAGGAGGUGAAUCAGCCGAUGCACAAACACCUGAGGACAAAAAGGGAUCAACUUCCGAUGCGGAGUUCCCUGACGACGAGCCGCUUGUUGUUUGGAAGUCUCGAGUUGGAAAAACCGUUAAAGGCAAAUAACGUGUGAUCCGGAGGUAUAAUAUCUUGUUCAGUUAGGUCUAGUCUGAAGACAUGCAGAAGAUGACAAACAGUAUUUACAACCAAUUGUUACAACACCAAUAAACGGUUAGUCAGUGAUUACGUGCCCCAGAUGUUCUGGGGCCGGAAUCGUGUUUAUGUAGUAAUGUAGUAGUAUUCUUUCUGUUGAUUGUAACUGGUAGUUUUAAGUUUACAGCAGCUAGUGCAGUAGCACAUAGUUGACUUGUAGUGGAGUAAUGUAACUUGUAUUGCUUUGUAGAUUUUACUUUGCUUUGUUAUGUGUACAUUGUGGUGGUGGUAUAUCAUCAAAGAUAUUUUAGACCAAAA